rnacentral:rRNA from 1 species
GACGAACGCUGGCGGCGUGCCUAAUACAUGCAAGUAGAACGCUGAAGAGAGGAGCUUGCUCUUCUUGGAUGAGUUGCGAACGGGUGAGUAACGCGUAGGUAACCUGCCUUGUAGCGGGGGAUAACUAUUGGAAACGAUAGCUAAUACCGCAUAACAAUGGAUGACACAUGUCAUUUAUUUGAAAGGGGCAAUUGCUCCACUACAAGAUGGACCUGCGUUGUAUUAGCUAGUAGGUGAGGUAACGGCUCACCUAGGCGACGAUACAUAGCCGACCUGAGAGGGUGAUCGGCCACACUGGGACUGAGACACGGCCCAGACUCCUACGGGAGGCAGCAGUAGGGAAUCUUCGGCAAUGGGGGCAACCCUGACCGAGCAACGCCGCGUGAGUGAAGAAGGUUUACGGAUCGUAAAGCUCUGUUGUAAGUCAAGAACGAGUGUGAGAGUGGAAAGUUCACACUGUGACGGUAGCUUACCAGAAAGGGACGGCUAACUACGUGCCAGCAGCCGCGGUAAU